rnacentral:rRNA from 1 species
GGGGAAUCUUCCGCAAUGGGCGCAAGCCUGACGGAGCAACGCCGCGUGAGUGAAGAAGGUUUUCGGAUUGUAAAACUCUGUCCAAAGGGAAGAAACAAAUGACGGUACCUUUGGAGGAAGCCCCGGCUAACUACGUGCCAGCAGCCGCGGUAAAACGUAGGGGGCAAGCGUUGUCCGGAAUUACUGGGCGUAAAGGGCGUGUAGGCGGCCCUGCAAGUCAGACGUGAAACCUAUCGGCUCAACUGAUAGCUUGCGAUUGAAACUGCAGAGCUUGAGUGCAGAAGAGGGGAGUGGAAUUCCCAGUGUAGCGGUGAAAUGCGUAGAUAUUGGGAGGAACACCGGUGGCGAAAGCGGCUCCCUGGCCUGUAACUGACGCUGAGGCGCGAAAGCGUGGGUAGCAAAC